UACGGGGGGGGGCAAGCGUUGUUCGGAAUUACUGGGCGUAAAGGGCUCGUAGGCGGCCAACUAAGUCGGACGUGAAAUCCCCAGGCUCAACCUGGGAACUGCGUCCGAUACUGGAUGGCUUGAAUCCGGGAGAGGGAUGCAGAAUUCCAGGUGUAGCGGUGAAAUGCGUAGAUAUCUGGAGGAAUACCGGUGGCGAAGGCGGCAUCCUGGACCGACAUUGACGCUGAGGAGCGAAAGCCAGGGGAGCAAACGGG
rnacentral:rRNA from 1 species